GAUCAAAUAAACAACACAUGGAAACAGCACAUGCAACUGAAUAAGACAAAAAAAAUGGAUUUGCAGAAUUUGACACACUAUUUGACAUCCAAACAACUAUAAAUCAUUCUUUUUUAUCACAUUAUUAAAAUCCCAAAAAUCAAAAAA